AUACGGAGGGGGUUAGCGUUGUUCGGAAUUACUGGGCGUAAAGCGUACGUAGGCGGAUCGGAAAGUAAGGGGUGAAAUCCCAGGGCUCAACCCUGGAACUGCCUCUUAAACUCCCGGUCUUGAGUUCGAGAGAGGUGAGUGGAAUUCCUAGUGUAGAGGUGAAAUUCGUAGAUAUUAGGAGGAACACCAGUGGCGAAGGCGGCUCACUGGCUCGAUACUGACGCUGAGGUACGAAAGUGUGGGGAGCAAACAGGAGUAGAUACCCCAGUAGUCC
rnacentral:rRNA from 1 species